rnacentral:lncRNA from 1 species
CAGAAGUCCAAGGAGGUCAGGCCAAAGCUGGCGUCAAAGCUCAGUGACAGAGAGCACUGCAGGCACAGCUGUGAGGUCAGCAUGCUGAUUAGAGACUCCUGGUCACCAGUGGGUCAAGCAUGUGUUGCUUCAGAGAGUCACUAAUGGCAUUUGGAAAAAUGGAAAAGAGUAAGUAAUAACGGCCAUCGAUUUUAAGAAAAAGAAAUGACAAGACCAAAAAAAAAAAAAAGUCAAACCAGGGUAACUGGACACUAGAAGUGCGUCUCAAGUAAACAGGAACUAUAAGGAACAUCUGCAACAGAGGGUUCAUGUGGCCCUAUAGGAGAGGCACGUCCAUCGUAGCCCAGGACAGGUGAGAGUUUCUAGGGAGAGGCGAGGGGCAUGCCAUUAUUCCUGAUCCACAACACGGCUG